AUUGAACGCUGGCGGCAGGCUUAACACAUGCAAGUCGAGCGGGGUGAUGGUGCUUGCACUAUCACUUAGCGGCGGACGGGUGCGUAAUGCUUAGGAAUCUGUCUAUUAGUGGGGGACAACAUCUCGAAAGGGAUGCUAAUACCGCAUACGUCCUACGGGAGAAAGCAGGGGAUCACUUGUGACCUUGCGCUAAUAGAUGAGCCUAAGUCGGAUUAGCUAGUUGGUGGGGUAAAGGCCUACCAAGGCGACGAUCUGUAGCGGGUCUGAGAGGAUGAUCCGGCACACUGGGACUGAGACACGGCCCAGACUCCUACGGGAGGCAGCAGUGGGGAAUAUUGGACAAUGGGGGGAACCCUGAUCCAGCCAUGCCGCGUGUGUGAAGAAGGCCUUAUGGUUGUGAAGCACUUUAAGCGAGGAGGAGGCUCUUUUGGUUAAUACCCAAGAUGAGUGGACGUUACUCGCAGAAUAAGCACCGGCUAACUCUGUGCCAGCCGCCGCAGUAA
rnacentral:rRNA from 1 species